rnacentral:sRNA from 1 species
AAAAAAUUCGAAUCCCAACGCCAUGGUGGGGCAGACCAGAGAGAGCCCAGACUCACCUGAUUCCUAAACCCUAGCUGCUGCUGCCCCUGCGCCACCGCCGGCGGCGGCCGCGGCGACGUCGCCGGCGAGCCCCCGGAGGAGGGGGGUGCCUCGCCGGGCUGCAUGUCCGCGAAGAGCUCCCUAGAUCUGGCCGAUUCGGGGCUCCCUCAUGCGAGAUCUAGGUCGAUCGGGUGCCCCCCACCGACGCGCGGCGGCCCGUGGGAUCGCCGCCGGAGACGCUCGCGGUUGAGGCGGGGGCGGUGAGAGUGUCAAACCCUAACCACCACCACCUCGGUUGGUUUCGCGGCGCGGAUUUUCCUCUCCGAUUUUUCCGUCGGAUUCGUCGCGUUUUUUUUUAAGAGAGAGAGAAGGAGACAGGAGGAGGUUGGAGUGUGAGGAAGAAUGGUAAAUUUGAAAGAGGAGGUGGGCUUUUAAGCUAAA